GUUUUUAGGGCCUGAUCCAAAGCCCGCUGAAAUUCAUGGGAGUUUUUCCAGUGACUUUAAUGGACUUUGGAUCAGGCCCUCAAGUGC
rnacentral:pre_miRNA from 1 species